AUCUAUAACAAAAAGAAGAGAGUAUAUUAGCACACACAGAAUAAUCGGACUAGUAACCAGGAACAAUACAAAAUGGUCCUUUGGUGUCCACACUGUUAGAGCAGGAGAUCUCAAACUCCCUUACCAAGCCCAGAAAUGACUGCUAAAGCUCAGGAUGUCCGCUGAGACAAACGACGCAACUGUGAUUUCGCAUAUACACCCAGACUGCACAAAGACAAAGCUUAAAAUGUGAUCAUCUUUAAAUUCAGACUUCAGUUUGCUUAGAUUAAAAACUACAAAAAGGGGUAAACAGCAAAGCCAAAUGACUUAAGAGCAAAAUUCAUUUACGAAGCAUUGUGGGUAUCUAAAUAUACACGAACAUGAUUUUAUACAUACAGGAAACUGUGCAAACGUAUGACAUUCUAAAGUACAGUUUGGCAUUUAAACAAAGAUCAAAUUAAGCUUUAAGCUAAUUAACAAUUUUUAAUCUUUUAAAUAUAAAAAGGCAGCUAAACACAAAAUACAGAUCAAAAAUCCUCAUUUAGUAUAAUUUUGAAAAAUAAAAAAUAUGUAAUAAGGUGGCUUUCUAUUCCACACUAAAAUGUAAAUAAAAUGUUUCCCAGAUUUAUACUCCAAACUAGUAACAACCUAAAAAUUGUUCUAAUCUGUGAAAAACAUGUACCAUGACCAAUUUAAUGACCCAGGAAAGGGUAAGAAGGGAUUACUAAUCAGAGCCAGUUGCAUACAGAUGGAAAAAGAAACACUUGUAGUCACUCCCAAAUAUACCCCUACAUGUUAGGUUACAAAAAUCACAAUGCGAACAGAAGUGCCUACAUUACGGAACUGUGAGAUGCUGUUUAAAAAACAAUAAAGAUGAACAGUGGGGCUAUCAUUGGUGCAAGGGAAGAGUGUAACAGCACAAGGUUGAUAGGGCUGGAAAACACCGGAAACACAGUUAAGACUCAAAACAAGUUUACACAGAAAAGUCUCCCAGGGAAUAAAACAGCGGAUAGGGAAGCAGAACUUCUCAGCAGGAUGGCCUCUCUGAUGGAUGUGUAACACAGACACAUCCUACCUCACCCCCAAGCCCCCAUGAAGUCUAGCUGAUUGAAAGCGGGGCGAGGGGUGGUGCGGGCGCUGAAGCCAAGUAAAGAACGUCUUCCCGAGUCCCCUGCCCCAGUGAACUCAGGGCGCAGAGUCCAACACUGAACUCGUCUGCCCGCCAUCGCCCCCUUUAGCAACCCCUCUUCCAUUUUUCUGUUACAUCGACAUGGAGUGUAUCUUUCCUGGAGUCAGGGCUUGCAGAGCCUAAGAGAUGACCAUCCUGGGGUCACCUGAAGGACAUACGCUAACCAGAGGCUCUGAGCUAACAACCAGGAAUGCAGACCUUGAACUCUCAUUAUCAAUUCAGCAUCUGCUGCUGAGUAUUUGGCACUAGCUGGAAAGAGGAAGGUCUAAUCAGAAUCUGUGAGCUGAGGCAGAUGUCGUUAAAUCAGAACUGGUAUUUGUGGCUUAUGAUUUGGUGUGAAAUGCAGAAAGCAGGAAUAGACAGGCACACCUCAACAUGCUGCAGAACUGAAGAGGAAACCUUAACAACCAGAGAUAAACAAAACCAGGCGUAUCAGCCUGACAAAUACAAAUACUUAUUAAAAAAGAAAAAGAACUGGUUGUAUCAUAGCAACAAUGGGCAUUUCCACCCUUAAGCUACUCUAACUACAGGCAGACAUCCUACUACAUGAAGAUUCUUCUACACCUGUUCCUCCUAAUCCUCAGAGCUUCGUGGGAAAUCAUUUAUUCCAUAGAGGCAGACAGCACACAUGGCCACAGUCUAAAGAACACUUGCGGCAGCAGGAACGUGCAUCACUUCAAG
ensembl:lncRNA